GCUGUGCUGCCGCGGUGGGAAAUAACCGCCGUGAGGUACCGAAGCCUCUCUCCAGGGUCCCACUGGGUUGACUCUCGCCAUGCCCAGGGCGGCGGAAAGCGGCGGUGCCACGCGACCACCAUCGCCGCUUUCCUGAGGGAAAGCACGGUCACUUCCGGUGGGAGGCGGAUAUGGGCGGAAGUGGCGGCGGCUGCGCCACCUCCAUGCAGGGCGCCGCCUUGCGGAGCGGAGGUUAACAGGGCAGGGUGGGACAUCACCAAGCGCCUCUCGUCCAGGCUGCAGCCCUGCCGUUGUCGCGGAUCACUGAGAAGACGAAUUGACCGAGUUCUUGUAGAGUGUUGAUUCUCAUUCCCAACACCUGCUCCUCUCCAUGUCAGCUCUAUGGAAGUAAGAUGGCAAUUUUGGGCUUAGGUAUUGACAGGUGACUUCGGAGAUCAGCGCCCACAAGGUAAAAACUAUUGUCCGAAAGCGUAAGUCAAGGGCAAAGAAAAAUCUACCAUUCAAAGCUCUUACAGAAAGAACUCUGCAUCACCUGCUUUGAACUACCUCUGAGAAUCUUUUAUAUCCACCACGUAAAUGUGGGUGUGAAACCCAUAAUGGCAGUGAGUAAGCAGUAGUGGAUUUCUGCUUCCUUACAAAGAUGCUAAGUCCUUUCAUACAGAGUAUGCAUGAAAUAACAGAUCCUUAGGAUUUGGAGUCUGACAUCUGCCGAGUACAGAUAAAGUGGCAUUGAACUGAAAAUCACAUUAUGACUUCGUACUUUGCAGAGACAUGAACUCUGACUUUAAGAAAUAAGCAAAUUAAAAUAUGUUUAGACAAAAAGUGGUUAUUUAUCUUUUUAAUUCUAAUACCACGUUUCCCUAUCAAAGAGAAGUUUAUCUGGAAAUGAAUUCAUGUACCUGUGAUCUACUGAAAGUGACUUUGAUGGACCUUAACUUUAUUAGAAUCAUAGAAUCAUUACGGUUGGAAAAGACUUCUGAGAUCAUCUGGUCCAACUGUGCACCUACCACCAACACUGCCCACUAAAACACAUCCCUAAGUACCACAUCUUUCUUUAACACCUGCAGGGGCAGUGACUCCCUGGGCAGUUGCACAGGCAUUGGCACAGGUUGCACAGAGAGGUGGUGGGUGCCCCAUCCCUGAAGGCAUUCAUGGUCAGGACGGAUGGAGCUCCAAGCACCUGAUUAAGCCCUGUUCAUUGCGAGGGAUUUGGACCAGAUGACCUUUUAGGAUAUCUUCCAACUCAAAUGAUUCUAUGAUUGUGGUGGAUCCUGCUCAGCCCCAAGGGGCUUGGUUGUCUUACUUUGCCUCUUGGCAAAGUUUUGGUUUCUGAAGGUGCAGCUGACAUGCUGAGGGCUGUUUUCCACUUGUUAAAAUUCAUUCUUCCCUUGAUGUUGUCUCCUGCAUCGGUGUCCCGCAGUGUGAAGUUAGAGCCUGAGGAAAAGUGUGCCGAUGUUUUACUGAUGCUCGCAGCUCUCCAGCCCCGCGGUCAGUCCUGGACGGCAGCUGACCACCUCCCCACGGCCAGUCAGAGAAGCCCGAGCAAUGCGGGCUUCCCCCACACGGUGGCACCGCCAGUCCACCUCUGCCCGGGUGACACCAGAGGGGCUGCCACACUGCGUCCCACACUCGUCCCUUCUCCCUGCACACCGGUUGCCCAAGCAGGGCUCGCAUCGGAGCUGUGCUAAGGCUGCUGGGUUGCUGUCAGAGAAGGGAUGAGGUGUUUGAUAAUAUUUCUGCUCAUCACUAGCUGACUCAGAAGUGUAUUUCUCAAAGUUGUCUCCUGCUGCUCCUGUUCUUCACACCUCAGCUCUCGCCUGGACCUCAUGUCUCUGCCAUACUGAACUGCUUUUUCCAGACGAGCUCCCCAGAGCACCUCCAGUGGAAGAAAUCGAAGGUGAGAAAUAUUGCCUGAAAACAGGUUCUUCAAAAACCAACAGGAACUGGCAGUGCUCAGAGCUCAGAAGGUGGAAGGCUUUUACUGGAGCAAAAAUCUGCAUAGUUCACUGCCAAACUAAGCUGCAGGAGCUGAAAGCAAAGCUGGUGAAUUCCACAGAGGAGAAGGCUGAACUGAUGGAAAAGACUCAAAAAUACAACGAUGCACUUAGAGAUGUGCUAGGAGGGAGGCACAGAAUUCUUACAGGAAUCCAGAGGAGGGAGAGAUGAAGAGGUCAGAACUGUGAACUGGCUGAUUGGCAGUUCCUAUUGUCCUUAAAAUCUAGGGAGAGGGCUGGAGUAACCAUGGGCUGCCAUCUCCAUAGGACACCGCAUCCCUUGCAUCCAUCAUUCUGCUGUGUAGGUAGUGGGAUUAUAACUGAGGGCUCUGCUGUUGUGAAGGAGCGGAAGCAGCAAUUGGAUCCAAGUUGCUUGAUCAGACUUCAAAGAUGCUCCACCGAAAAGUGCUUUGUCUGUACUGUGUCAGUCCUACACUGUGGCACGUUCUUUGCAAAGUGUUGGGUCUGUAUUGGAGAUAAGAAUGGAAUACAGCAAGAAACUCAGUGCACAUGGUACUCCUGGCAGGGAGGGUGGCAGCUGUGUAUGGGAUUGGGGGAUCAAAUCCAGACUGUCACCUUUGACUCCUAUCUUUACCUUUCUUCCCUUACCACAGUGCUUGGGAGAAACAUAAAAACCUGCGCAUGAAUGUGAGCUGGCUUCUCUCAUUCAUUGCCUCCGGCUCAGAGCUCCAACAUAUUGACUCUGAGUUGGGUCGCGUGGAUGACAUCUUGUAAUGGAGAAAAUACACAUGUUGUUACAGCCA